CAGGUUGGUCGGGUGGCUGCUGCUGCGCCUGACGCAGUAGAGGAAAGUCCGCGCUUCACAGAGCACACAGCCGGAUAACAUCCGGGACGGGGUAACCUGUCGGAUCGGGCCACAGAAACAAACCGCCUGCCUUGUGCAGGUAAGGGUGAAAUGGUGGUGUAAGAGACCACCGGAGACCGCAGCAAUGCGGCUGCCGGGUAACCCCCUGUGGAAGCAAGGUCAAGCAGGAACAAUAUCCUUCGGGAUGGGAGGCGGCUCGUCUUCCUUGAGUUCCGGGUAGGCUGCAAGAGCGUAUCGGUAACGGUACGACCAGAUAGAUAGUCACCCAGAUGGCGUUUCGCCAUCAGACAGAACGCGGCUUAUAGACCGACCUGGAUA
rnacentral:RNase_P_RNA from 1 species